UCGCGUGCCACCUCUCGACAGAACAGCGAGUAGAAUGGAAAAGUAUAGACAGUAGCAUUUCCCAGCCCAUGCGUUACAAACCAAGGCUGGUGUCAGCACAACGUCCAUCCUUCUUCGAUGAUAUUUUCUUAUAGCGGUCACACCAUUGACUGUAGACUAUAUAAAGGGUCACGCAGGAGUUUUACUUGUCAACCAUGAACCAAACCGCAGGAGUAACACAGACAUACCGGAGGUGUUCUAAAGCAGGAAAGUGCCGUUUCCUGUACUAGCUAUUGGCUGUGUCAACCUCCGAAACGCAGACCUCCCAGAGAAAUGUGCUGGGCUUGCACCUGUGUCAGUCUCCCAGAUGGACCUGCUGAGAUUGUGCUGCAGGUUUUCUCCAAAUCUCUCAAAGAUCCAACCCUCGGGCGUAAUACCUGAAUAUCCAUAAUUGCUGUGGAUAUUAGCAGAAAAUUCUGUGUUUCCAUACAUUAUUGAUGAGCC